CUCUUGUCCUUGUUCUUUGAGACGGUCUUAGAAAGUUGAAGAGGGUCUUCAAUCAGCCAUCAAAGAGACAUCUUCUGCAAGGGAGCUAGCACGGUGAAGAUAAAGGCUUCUGAUUGGAUCGAAGGCUUCGUGUGGAAACCCAUAGAGGUCGGUAGACGUGUGUGCGGCUCUGCAGGAACCUCGCUCUAUGAAAAGAUAUUCAUCUAAUCUAAGUUUGAUUUUUUAUUUUCAACAUCUCGAUC
rnacentral:lncRNA from 1 species